rnacentral:rRNA from 1 species
CCUACGGGUGGCAGCAGUGGGGAAUAUUGCGCAAUGGGCGAAAGCCUGACGCAGCAACGCCGCGUGGGGGAUGAAGGUUCUCGGAUUGUAAACCCCUUUCGAUCGGAACGAAUCCCCUCCUGGUAAAUAAUCAGGAGGAUCGACGGUACCGAGAGAAGAAGCCACGGCUAACUCUGUGCCAGCAGCCGCGGUAAGACAGAGGUGGCGAGCGUUGUUCGGAUUUAUUAGGCGUAAUGGGAAGUCAGAGGUGAAAGACCACAGCUUAACUGUGGCACUGCCUUUGAUACUGCCUUUCUUGAGUGCAUGAGGGGGAAGCGGAAUUCCGAGUGUAGAGGUGAAAUUCGUAGAUAUUCGGAGGAACACCGGUGGCGAAGGCGGCUUCCUGGCAUGUAACUGACGCUCAUGUUCGAAAGCGUGGGUAGCAAACAGGAUUAGAUACCCGAGUAGUC